UCUCCUACUGUUUUAUGUGUGUGUAUAUAUAUAUAUAUAUAUAGAGUAGGGCUAGAAUACUCGUAAAAGUAUCAUGGGGGUGAUACUUGUAUGUUUUUAGCCCUUGGAUGGAGAGAUGUGAGAUUGAGAUGAUGGUGGUAGGUGGGGGUAGGUGGUGGUAGGUGGAAUAGUAUUUAAUUCAAUGGCUAUUAAUAAUCAAAAAGUAGAUCCAAUGACUUAAAACCUAAUAGCAUCAUGAUGGUGAUACUUGUAAAANAUAUAGCUGUGAUGUGUCGAGGGAGCAAGGGCUAUUAUGCCUCCCCUUCUUGUGACACAAACUUACUUCAUUUUUUAAUUCAUCUUCUUUUUCUUUUCUUUUUCUCUCUGUUUGCUAGAGCUUUGUAAUAGUUCUUCUCAUUUUUAACUCGUCUUCUUGGGACCCUCUCUUUUCUUCGUUUCAUUUCCUUUUUACUGUAUAAUAAUACUGGUUUGUCUAGAUCUGAUUUACUAUGAUGAAUUAAUUUCAUAAAUUAUAAAUAUAUUUUUAUAAAGUUUAACUUUCAUAUGUUAUAGUCCCUACAAAUGUUUAAUAUUUUAAAAUAUAUUCAUACUAUUAGAAUCAGUUAGAAAACUUUAGUUAAUUACAGAUUAAAUACUUAACUCUGAUUAGUUUAAGAGAUAACUUGAUAUUUUUACCCCUUUCAUAUUUUACUGUUUGGCUUUUGAGGAGACAUAUUUGUGAUGGUAAAUUAACAUUUCACUUAAAAUAUAAGCAGUUCUAUAAUGAUAACAAACUAGAGGGAUAUAUUUAAAAAUAUUGGAACUGUUACAAAGACAAUAUAUAAAAAUUAAACUUUAUAGAAAUAUAUUUGUAAUUCACUAUAUUUAGAGUAACAUGUAUGCAUUUAACCUACUAUGAUAUUGAUAAAUUAUUGAACCAUUUAGUGUUACAUGUUGAAACGAGAGAUAUAAUGAAAAGUUGGACUAGAUUCAGAUAUUAAUUUUCACUUUAUAUGGAGGUCAGAAACUUCAAACCGAGUAUUUAGUUGCUUCAU
rnacentral:lncRNA from 1 species